rnacentral:rRNA from 1 species
ACGCUAUCACUCCUACGGGAGGCAGCAGUAGGGAAUUUUUCCGCAAUGGACGAAAGUCUGACGGAGCAAUGCCGCGUGAGUGAUGAAGGUUUUCGAAUCGUAAAGCUCUGUUGUAAGGGAAGAAUAGCAAGGAUAGGAAAUGCUCCCUUGUCUGACGGUACCUUACCAGAAAGCCACGGCUAACUACGUGCCAGCAGCCGCGGUAAUACGUAGGUGGCAAGCGUUAUCCGGAAUUAUUGGGCGUAAAGCGCAUGUAGGCGGCUUUUUAAGUCUGAUGUGAAAGCCAGUGGCUCAACCACUGAAUUGCAUUGGAUACUGGAAAGCUAGAAUCUUGGAGAGGUAAGUGGAAUUUCAUGUGUAGCGGUGGAAUGCGUAGAUAUAUGAAGGAACACCAAUGGCGAAGGCAGCUUACUGGACAAGUAUUGACGCUCAGAUGCGAAAGCGUGGGGAGCAAACAGGAUUAGAUACCCUGGUAG